rnacentral:rRNA from 1 species
UACGGAGGGGACUAGCGUUGUUCGGAAUUACUGGGCGUAAAGCGCACGUAGGCGGAUUGCUAAGUCAGGGGUGAAAUCCUGGAGCUCAACUCCAGAACUGCCUUUGAUACUGGUAGUCUCGAGUCCGGAAGAGGUGAGUGGAAUUCCGAGUGUAGAGGUGAAAUUCGUAGAUAUUCGGAGGAACACCAGUGGCGAAGGCGGCUCACUGGUCCGGUACUGACGCUGAGGUGCGAAAGCGUGGGGAGCAAACAGG